rnacentral:rRNA from 1 species
UACGAAGGGUGUUAGCGUUACUCGGAAUUACUGGGCGUAAAGAAUGCGUAGGCGGAUUUACAAGUUGGGAGUGAAAUCCCCGGGCUCAACCCGGGAGCUGCUUUCAAAACUGUAAAUCUUGAAUUUUGGAGUGAUUAGGGGAAUUCUUGGUGUACGGGGUAAAAUCCAUAGAUAUCAAGAGGAAGACCGGAAGUGAAAACGCUUAAUUGGCCAAAUAUUGACGCUGAGGCAUGAAAGCGUGGGGAGCAAACAGG